AGAGUUUGAUCAUGGCUCAGGAUGAACGCUAGCUACAGGCUUAACACAUGCAAGUCGAGGGGCAGCAUGGUCUUAGCUUGCUAAGGCUGAUGGCGACCGGCGCACGGGUGAGUAACACGUAUCCAACCUGCCGUCUACUCUUGGGCCAGCCUUCUAGAAAGGAAGAUUAAUCCAGGAUGGGAUCAUGAGUUCACAUAGUCCGCAAUGUAUUAAAGGUAUUUUCCGGUAGACGAGUGGGGAUGCGUUCCAUUAGAUAGUAGGCGGGGUAACGGCCCACCUAGUCAACGAUGGAUAGGGGUUCUGAGAGGAAGGUCCCCCACAUUGGAACUGAGACACGGUCCAAACUCCUACGGGAGGCAGCA
rnacentral:rRNA from 1 species